CUGGAAGCCACGUUGCUCUGCUUCAAACUCUGCGACCAACCCGCGCCCUCCGCCUAGCCGUCGAACUGCUCUCUUUUGUCGCCGCCUUUUUGUUAUAGAAUGAAAAA